rnacentral:rRNA from 1 species
CCUACGGCAGGCAGCAGUGGGGAAUCUUGGGCAAUGGGCGAAAGCCUGACCCAGCGACGCCGCGUGGGGGAUGAAGGCCCUCGGGUUGUAAACCCCUUUCAGCGGGGACGAAGCGAAAGUGACGGUACCCGCAGAAGAAGCCCCGGCUAACUACGUGCCAGCAGCCGCGGUAAGACGUAGGGGGCGAGCGUUGUCCGGAUUUAUUGGGCGUAAAGCGCGCGCAGGCGGCCCGUUAAGUCGGUUGUGAAAACCCGAGGCUCAACCUCGGGCCUGCAUCCGAUACUGGCGGGCUUGAGGCAGGUAGGGGAGAGUGGAAUUCCCGGUGUAGCGGUGAAAUGCGCAGAUAUCGGGAGGAACACCGGUGGCGAAGGCGGCUCUCUGGGCCUGUCCUGACGCUCAGGCGCGAAAGCUGGGGGAGCGAACAGGAUUAGAUACCCUGGUAGUCCCAGCCGUAAACGAUGGGUGCUAGGUGUGGGGGGAUAUCGACCCCUUCCGUGCCGAAGCUAACGCAU